UACGUAGGUGGCGAGCGUUAUCCGGAAUUACUGGGUGUAAAGGGAGCGCAGGCGGGGCGACAAGUCAGCUGUGAAAACUAUGGGCUUAACUCAUAGACUGCAGUUGAAACUGUUGCUCUUGAGUGGAGUAGAGGCAAGCGGAAUUCCGAGUGUAGCGGUGAAAUGCGUAGAUAUUCGGAGGAACACAAGUGGCGAAGGCGGCUUGCUGGGCUCUAACUGACGCUGAGGCUCGAAAGUGUGGGGAGCGAACAGGAUUA
rnacentral:rRNA from 1 species